rnacentral:rRNA from 1 species
CCUACGGGCGGCAGCAGUAGGGAAUAUUGCUCAAUGGGGGAAACCCUGAAGCAGCAACGCCGCGUGGAGGAUGAAGGUUUUCGGAUUGUAAACUCCUUUUGUUAGAGACGAUAAUGACGGUAUCUAACGAAUAAGCACCGGCUAACUCCGUGCCAGCAGCCGCGGUAAUACGGAGGGUGCAAGCGUUACUCGGAAUCACUGGGCGUAAAGCGCGCGUAGGCGGGAUAGCAAGUCAGAUGUGAAAUCCUAUGGCUUAACCAUAGAACUGCAUUUGAAACUGUUAUUCUAGAGUAUGGGAGAGGUAGGUGGAAUUCUUGGUGUAGGGGUAAAAUCCGUAGAGAUCAAGAGGAAUACUCAUUGCGAAGGCGACCUGCUAGAACAUAACUGACGCUGAUGCGCGAAAGCGUGGGGAGCAAACAGGAUUAGAUACCCCAGUAGUC